UUGAAAACACAACAUAUUUCACAUUUAAAUUAUACAUUUCAAACUCAAAACUUUGUAUGUUCAGACAUAAAAUUUACAUCUUAUGAAUUGUUUGAAGCACCAUCAAUUUUCCUUCAACCUAACAUAAUUAAUUCAAUACUCUAAACCUCACAUAGUUGUACAUUUUUGCUGGUAUCUCAACACUAGAAGCAUAAUGCAAAAGAAGAAGCUUGGGACAUCAUCUUCUUGUUUCUAUUUUCGGAGCGCUUGAGGUGGCAC
rnacentral:misc_RNA from 1 species